GAUGAACGCUAGCUACAGGCUUAACACAUGCAAGUCGAGGGGCAGCAUGGUCUUAGCUUGCUAAGGCUGAUGGCGACCGGCGCACGGGUGAGUAACACGUAUCCAACCUGCCGUCUACUCUUGGCCAGCCUUCUGAAAGGAAGAUUAAUCCAGGAUGGCAUCAUGAGUUCACAUGUCCGCAUGAUUAAAGGUAUUUUCCGGUAGACGAUGGGGAUGCGUUCCAUUAGAUAGUAGGCGGGGUAACGGCCCACCUAGUCAACGAUGGAUAGGGGUUCUGAGAGGAAGGUCCCCCACAUUGGAACUGAGACACGGUCCAAACUCCUACGGGAGGCAGCAGUGAGGAAUAUUGGUCAAUGGGCGAUGGCCUGAACCAGCCAAGUAGCGUGAAGGAUGACUGCCCUAUGGGUUGUAAACUUCUUUUAUAAAGGAAUAAAGUCGGGUAUGCAUACCCGUUUGCAUGUACUUUAUGAAUAAGGAUCGGCUAACUCCGUGCCAGCAGCCGCGGUAAUACGGAGGAUCCGAGCGUUAUCCGGAUUUAUUGGGUUUAAAGGGAGCGUAGAUGGAUGUUUAAGUCAGUUGUGAAAGUUUGCGGCUCAACCGUAAAAUUGCAGUUGAUACUGGAUGUCUUGAGUGCAGUUGAGGCAGGCGGAAUUCGUGGUGUAGCGGUGAAAUGCUUAGAUAUCACGAAGAACUCCGAUUGCGAAGGCAGCCUGCUAAGCUGCAACUGACAUUGAGGCUCGAAAGUGUGGGUAUCAAACAGG
rnacentral:rRNA from 1 species